GACGAACGCUGGCGGCGUGCUUAACACAUGCAAGUCGAACGGAAAGGCCCUGCUUUUGUGGGGUGCUCGAGUGGCGAACGGGUGAGUAACACGUGAGUAACCUGCCCUUGACUUUGGGAUAACUUCAGGAAACUGGGGCUAAUACCGGAUAGGAGCUCCUGCUGCAUGGUGGGGGUUGGAAAGUUUCGGCGGUUGGGGAUGGACUCGCGGCUUAUCAGCUUGUUGGUGGGGUAGUGGCUUACCAAGGCUUUGACGGGUAGCCGGCCUGAGAGGGUGACCGGCGACAUUGGGACUGAGAUACGGCCCAGACUCCUACGGGAGGCAGCAGUGGGGAAUAUUGCACAAUGGGCGGAAGCCUGAUGCAGCAACGCCGCGUGCGGGAUGACGGCCUUCGGGUUGUCAACCGCUUUCGCCUGUGACGAAGCGUGAGUGACGGUAAUGGGUAAAGAAGCACCGGCUAACUACGUG
rnacentral:rRNA from 1 species